rnacentral:rRNA from 1 species
GACGAACGCUGGCGGCGUGCUUAACACAUGCAAGUCGAACGGAAAGACCCUGCUUUUGUGGGGUGCUCGAGUGGCGAACGGGUGAGUAACACGUGAGUAACCUGCCCUUGACUUUGGGAUAACUUCAGGAAACUGGGGCUAAUACCGGAUAGGAGCUCCUGCUGCAUGGUGGGGGUUGGAAAGUUUCGGCGGUUGGGGAUGGACUCGCGGCUUAUCAGCUUGUUGGUGGGGUAGUGGCUUACCAAGGCUUUGACGGGUAGCCGGCCUGAGAGGGUGACCGGCCACAUUGGGACUGAGAGACGGACCAGACUCCUACGGGAGGCAGCAGUGGGGAAUAUUGCACAAUGGGCGGAAGCCUGAUGCAGCAACGCCGCGUGCGGGAUGACGGCCUUCGGGUUGUAAACCGCUUUCGCCUGUGACGAAGCGUGAGUGACGGUAAUGGGUAAAGAAGCACCGGCUAACUACGUG